rfam:Triticum aestivum genome assembly, contig: Triticum_aestivum_CS42_TGACv1_scaffold_499622_6BL
UUACUACUCCCUCCGUCCAAAAUUAUUUGUCCGAGGAAUGGAUGUAUUUAGAUGUAUUUUAGUUCUAGAUACAUCUAUUUGCAUCCAUUUCUACGACAAGUAUUUCCGAACGGAGGGAGUACUUC